UUAAGGAUUAAGUAGGGCAGACACUGAUAAUUGGGUCCAACAUUUCCCAUGAAACUUGAAGAGAUUUGUGGAAUCCUUCUCUACUUCUAUUGAUCAGAAUUGGCACCUCUUUAUUAUUCCUGAUACCAAGAGAUGUAGUGUUUGGUCCAAGUUUGCAUGUCUAGUUAAUGAAAAUAAACUCCAUUUUCUGACUGCAAGUCCAGGGCUCUUGCCAAUACUGUGCUACCAUCCAUACAAAUGACUUACUUUUACCUCUUUAAUUUAUAUGAGAUACCCACUCACUUGCUGACAAUCAGUCAUUUAGCUUUUUAGGAAUUACUCAUCUAGAAAGAAGAUCAUAUACUGCUUGGGAGAAUGGGAGAUAGUUGGAAUGCUAAUUGUGGCAGGCGUAAUAACAGCUCCCAAAGGUAUCCAGGUCCUAAUUCUGGGAACCUGUGAAUGCUGCCUUAUAUGAUAAAAGGGAUUUUGUGGAUGUAAUUAAGGAUUUUGAGAUGAGGAGAUUGUCUUAGAUUAUCUAGGUAAAUCCUACGUCAUCACAAAUAUCCUUAUAAGAGGGAGGCAGAGGAAUAUUUGAUAAAGAAGAGAAGGGGACGUGACGAAAGAACAGGAAGAGGAAAGGGGAUGUGAUGCCAGGCCACGAGCUGAGGAAUGAGGACUGCAUCCCUCCUGGCACAGAGUGUUGACCGCAAGAUGAGGCAAAGGCAAAUAGGUGGAAUAACUGGAGAAUAACCCAGAAUGAGACACUGAAAGAGGAUUUUGAAAGGAUUUCCUUGCCUAUUAUCUGCUUUCUGAGAGAACCACACAAAACAGGUAUAUUCAUUUAACAAAGGUAGUCUCUGAGGAGCUAUCAAAAACUGCCUGCCAUCUUUCCAAAUCAUCUCUGUCUGCAGUGACCAUGUCUUAAUCCUGAAGGACAGCAAGGAACAGUGGAGCAAGGGAUCGAAGAGAGUGAAGUAGCUGCAUACUGGCAAUAACCUAUGAAUCUGUGGGGAUUCUGAAGAGUAGGAAGCAAUGAGACCUGCUGUCUUUCCUUUAUUGUCCCUUCCUCUGUUACUCUCAGACUGUUGUGCUUUGCUUGUGUUGUGGGUGUUUUGCUCUGCCAUAAUGGCUGUCAUGAUGAACUAUAAGCUUCAUUCUACAUCCUGGGACAAUCUACAGUUCAUGAGAUUCUCACCUAUGGGUUAGGGACCCUUGGACAUUUGCAGAGUUGUAAAGCCAAGCACCCAUUUAUUCUUUCUUAAUCAAUGGAUACUAAAAGUGUA